AACGAACGCUGGCGGCGUGCCUAACACAUGCAAGUCGUGCGAGAAAGUUCCUUCGGGAGCGAGUAAAGCGGCGCACGGGUGAGUAACACGUAGGUAACCUGCCCCCCAGUCUGGAACAACUAGAGGAAACUCUAGCUAAUGCCGGAUGAGACCACGAUCCCUUCGGGGGUUGCGGCCAAAGAUGGCCUCUACUUGUAAGCUAUCGCUGAGGGAUGGGCCUGCGGGCCAUUAGCUUGUUGGUGAGGUAACGGCUCACCAAGGCUGUGAUGGCUAGCUGGUCUGAGAGGAUGACCAGCCACACUGGGACUGAGACACGGCCCAGACUCCUACGGGAGGCAGCAGUGGGAAUAUUGCGCAAUGGGCGAAAGCCUGACGCAGCGACGCCGCGUGGGUGAUGAAGGCCUC
rnacentral:rRNA from 1 species